GAUGAACGCUGGCGGCGUGCCUAAUACAUGCAAGUCGAACGCAUUGUGGUUGAAAUGAUAUGAAGAACUUGUUCAGAUUUGAUUUUCAACAUUGCAAUGAGUGGCGAACGGGUGAGUAACACGUGGGAAACCUACCUCUUAGCAGGGGAUAACAUUUGGAAACAAAUGCUAAUACCGUAUAAUAAUUAAAACCGCAUGGUUUUAGUUUAAAAGAUGGUCUUGCUAUCACUAAGAGAUGGUCCCGCGGUGUAUUAGUUAGUUGGUGAGGUAAAUGGCUCACCAAGACAAUGAUACAUAGCCGAAGUUGAGAGACUGACCGGCACAAUGGGACUGAGACACGGCCCAUUACUCCUACGGGAGGCAGCUAGUA
rnacentral:rRNA from 1 species